UUUUUUCUUCCACCCUUCCUCCUCCAGCCCCGAUCACGUCUGACACCGCUGCUUUGCAUGUGUCGGCUUUGCCUCCGGCUCUAACAGUUCACCUCCGACAUCUUCUUCACAUAUUUUUUCCCUUUUUUCUUUGUCUUUAGUUCGACUUAAAUCCUUGAAAAUUGAGUAUGAUAGUUGUUUUCCCUAAAAAUCGAGCAUAAAGUUACGUUCGUUUUCUUUUUCUGAAUUCAUAUGUUGUUUGAAAAUCGAGUUUUAGAGAUUUUUUUCUGAAAUCGGAGGAAUAUCUUCAUGUUGAAAUCAGAUGCCUGUUUUUUUCUUCUGAAAUCAGAUGUGGCAAUCUGGUGAUGAGUAACAACAACAUCCAUGUGAUAAUAAACACAGUGGAGUGAUGUUGAUGCAAAUUUCAAAGCAGUCGAUUGUCGGGUUCUAAGUGACAGUUUCUUCCUUUUUUUCACCUAAAACUUUAUAUUAAGGGCUAAUCGACUGCUAAUUUCCAAUCCUAUAUAUUUUUUUAUUGGUUGAAUUAGUAGUUCUUAUGAAGAAAUUGUAGUUGACAAUUGACAUAUGUUUUUUCUGAUGCAAGAGUUAAUCGAUUUUUAUGUUGAUUUCAAUUCCUGGAGCAUUUGGAAUGAUGUUUUAAUUGUUAAUUGAUUUUUUCCCAUAAGACUUAUGUUUUUUAGGGGAUUUCGGAUUAAUUUGAUGAUGUUUUGAGUUGUUUGGUAUAUCUUGUUAGUAACACAAGUUUAUAGGUAGAUGACGAUUGAUUCUAUAUUAACCAGUUGUGUAACAAGUGGUGUUUUAGUUUUAGUCAUAUAAAAACAGACACACACUGAUACAUAUUUGUGGAAUUUGUAGGAGAUAUUGCAUAACAGCUACAAAUAAUGGCAUCUUGAUGCUAGAAUCUCAUGUGGUGAUGUUUGGAAUGCUUGAAAGUCUGAAAUCAUAUGUGGUGUCGAAGUGAAUUAGUUAAUGAGCUUAAAGCUUGUACGUUGAGUUGAUUAACCACAUAUCACUGACUUGGAAUAACUAUUAAGGGUUUUUUUUUCAAGAAUGUGUUUGUACUUGUCAUGAUGUGUAAGAUAUAGCAAUGUACUAAUAUUAAUUAUUUGAUUAUCGCUUCAUAGUUUCAACUCUUCUUAUUAGAGCAUUGUAUUUUGAAAAAUCUAUUUAGUUAAAGCAAUUCCAUCCAAACCAAAGCAAGUUUGAUUGCUAUAAUUCGAUACUUGUUAAAUAUUUAUGCUUGAUUUUUA
rnacentral:lncRNA from 1 species